rnacentral:rRNA from 1 species
CCUACGGGAGGCAGCAGUAGGGAAUCUUCCGCAAUGGACGAAAGUCUGACGGAGCAACGCCGCGUGAACGAUGAAGGCCUUCGGGUCGUAAAGUUCUGUUGUUAGGGAAGAACAAGUGCUAGUUGAAUAAGCUGGCACCUUGACGGUACCUAACCAGAAAGCCACGGCUAACUACGUGCCAGCAGCCGCGGUAAUACGUAGGUGGCAAGCGUUGUCCGGAAUUAUUGGGCGUAAAGCGCGCGCAGGCGGUUUCUUAAGUCUGAUGUGAAAGCCCCCGGCUCAACCGGGGAGGGUCAUUGGAAACUGGGAAACUUGAGUGCAGAAGAGGAAAGUGGAAUUCCAAGUGUAGCGGUGAAAUGCGUAGAGAUUUGGAGGAACACCAGUGGCGAAGGCGACUUUCUGGUCUGUAACUGACGCUGAGGCGCGAAAGCGUGGGGAGCAAACAGGAUUAGAUACCCUGGUAGUCCACGCUGUAAACGAUGAGUGCUAAGUGUUAGAGGGUUUCCGCCUUUAGUGCUGAAGUUACGCAUUAAGC